AAGUUAUUCUGCAUUUGAAAGAGGAUCAGACCGAAUACAUUGAUGUGAAGCGUAUUAAGGAGAUCGUGAAGAAGCACUCACAGUUCAUUGGCUAUCCCAUAACAUUAUAUGACAAAAGUGAGGAGGAAGGAGAGAAAGAUGAAGAUAAGCCAGAGAUUGAGAUUGUUGGCUCAGAUGAUGAAGACCAUGACAAGAUCGCAGAUAAAAAAAAGAAGACGACAAUCAAGGAGAAGUAUACUGACCAGGAAGCUCAAUAAUCUUCUCUUCACGUGGCUCCUCUGGGGUCACAAGGUGGUCCAAGAUUGUUGUCACAGGGGCACUGCCCCCCCUGAGGAGAAGCCAUAGAUAUCUACACUAGAUGUCGCCUUGGGUACGGCAGCUCAUUGGAACAAAUGCGUCAAUAGAGCCGCCAUCUUGGAACAGGGGAGCCCCUCCUCUUUAAUGCAUCAGCGUCAAUAUAGGCAAAGGUUUAACGGAAAUUAAAAUCACCAUAAAUCGUCAUGAAUGCGUUUUAACGGUCAGACAUGUAUUUAUCAAUGAGUCCAGAGAAAAGUUAAGGUUUUGAUAUUAAGAUAAUCUACUUUUUCAAAUUAUAAUGCAUAGUGCUAGUAGGCCUAAGUUCAUUACUUACAUUCCUCCAUUCCUCACAUUGGUGUGACUAUACAUGUUAAUUAAAACAUUUAAAUUGUAUUGGCUGAUUAAAUAUGAUACACAAAGUAAUUUGCAGGUGGAAGCAAAUCACAAAUUUGAGAGGAACAUAAUGUGAGAGUUAGAUAGUUGAGGUGCCAAAGACCGUUCAAUCUUUUCUUUAUUCCCGUCCCACAAUACUUUUGUCACAUUAAAUAAGUGUGCACUAAAGUCACAUUCAUAAAGAACCAAGUUAGUCAGUAUUACAAAACAAUGUUAUUGUUAUUGAAAGCUGAGGUGGCAGAGAAAGAGCAGCAGUUUGAGGAUAGUAUAGAAAAACCAAGGUUUGACUCUGAGGCUGGACUUGUGUGUUAAACUGCAAAGCUAACUGGUGACAUCCUUCCAGGUAUGUCAGCUGAGUUAACCAUUUUUAAAACUAAGUAUUUAGUAUCUCUGCAACAACACUACCUUACACAGUUUCUUCCUGAGACUUUUGCUCUGCAGUUGCAGAGUAUGAACCUUUGCGAUCGGGGUUAACAUCCAGAACCAGUAUGUUUGGAUAAACUUGUUCAGAUGGACGUUUUAACUUAAGACUCAUCUCCGUUAGCCAAGAAUGCUGACUGAAGUCAGCGUAGCAUGCUAGCUAUCUAUCUAUCUCCUUUUGUUUUUUUGUUGUUUUUUUAUCCUAAAUUGCAUUCCUUUUUAUGCUUACCCUUAUAUACCAGACAGAUGCAAAAAGCAUUUCACUGCAUGUCGUACCCUGUAUGUAUGUGUAUGUGACAAAUAAAAUUUGAUUUGAUUCAAUGAUAUAAGUGCAGCUCACCAUCAUGAUAAUACAAUGUUUUAUUGCCAUGCUAAUAACUACAAAGUGGUGUCCAUAUGAUGGUCCUUUUCCAUUAAUAGACAGAGUAUGGUGGAGAUUUAAUCUUGUGAGCCAUACUAGUGGUGUACUCUGGGCAGACCAUCUGAGCCUGAGACAGGGGGGCUGCCUCAUGCUGCCUAACAGAUGGGCUACAUUCAGUUCAUUGUAUAUAUUACACAGUCUGCUGAUGUGAAAUGUGGACGGGAUUACAGAAGAAAAUAAGGGAUGUUGGUAUAAACUACACUGAUGAACCUAAUAAACUGGCAGUUGAGUUUAUAUACAAUGUCUAAAGAAUAGAUGGCAUGUCAGGACUUUUAGCAAUUAUUCAGUUCUUAUUUUGAGCAGCAGAUGGCACCAGAACACUCUUAUUUCUGUUUCAGUCCUAAGAAAAUGUUUUGCAUGUAUCCUCGGAGAAUGGCUGUUCUAGAGUAGAGAUCUAUUCUGUCCUUUUGCAGACAGAGGCCACUUUAUAAAACAAAUUUUAUAGGCCGUUUAACCCAGUAUUUUGUUUAAGAUCAUGAACAUUGUUAUCAAACUGUGAGCAUUACUUACAUGUGUACAAUAACAUUUUGUAUACUUAUUUGAGCUGUAAAUAUUUUUUUAUUCCAGAACAUGCUUAUGAAAGAAUGCCUUAGGCCCAAGUAGAGGGCUUACUUAUGUUUUAAUUUUGGAAUAAUUCCAUUCAUUACAAGUGAGAGGUUAAAAAUAUAAGAACAAUAUAACACAAGAAAAAUACCACCAAUGAUUGUGAUUUCCACCAGUGAAAGUACAUUUAAAAAAACAUGGACCCCACUACUGUCGAAAAAGACCAUGGACCAUAAAACCUGUGAAAAGACUAGGAUUGCUUUAUCAUGGUCACAGUGGAAUAAAUUAAUAUACAAAUAAACUGAAUAUUUGAAUAGUUAGAGGGAAUCCGUGAUAUUUAUUUUACAGUUAAGGUGUUAUAUUUUGCCUUUUUACACAAGUUACUGCUGCAUACUGUCUGUAGUCGAUACAAUGAAUAGAUUGAGGAAAAUCCAUGCGAUGAAGAUUUUGGACCUCCACUGAGAUGAGGCUGACUCUGCGAGAUACCUGAGGCAUCUAGAGAUCUACCAGCUCCAGUUAGACUCUGCGAUACU